CCUACGGGAGGCAGCAGUGGGGAAUAUUGCACAAUGGGGGAAACCCUGAUGCAGCGACGCCGCGUGAGUGAAGAAGUAUUUCGGUACGUAAAGCUCUAUCAGCAGGGAAGAAAAUGACGGUACCUGACUAAGAAGCCCCGGCUAACUACGUGCCAGCAGCCGCGGUAAUACGUAGGGGGCAAGCGUUAUCCGGAUUUACUGGGUGUAAAGGGAGCGUAGACGGCAGCGCAAGUCUGGAGUGAAAUCCCAUGGCUUAACCAUGGAACUGCGUUGGAAACUGUGCAGCUAGAGUGCAGGAGAGGUAAGCGGAAUUCCUAGUGGAGCGGUGAAAUGCGUAGAUAUUAGGAGGAACACCAGUGGCGAAGGCGGCUUACUGGACUGUAACUGACGUUGAGGCUCGAAAGCGUGGGGAGCAAACAGGAUUAGAUACCCUUGUAGUC
rnacentral:rRNA from 1 species